rnacentral:rRNA from 1 species
UACGGAGGGGGCAAGCGUUAUUCGGAAUCAUUGGGCGUAAAGGGCGCGUAGGCGGCUUGGCAAGUCAAAGGUGAAAUCCCUCGGCCUAACCGAGGAACUGCCUUUGAAACUGCUUGGCUUGAGACCGGAAGAGGUAAGUGGAACUGCGAGUGUAGAGGUGAAAUUCGUAGAUAUUCGCAAGAACACCAGUGGCGAAGGCGACUCGCUGGACAAGUAUUGACGCUGAGGUGCGAAAGCGUGGGGAGCAAACAGG